AUACAGAGGGUGCAAGCGUUAAUCGGAUUUACUGGGCGUAAAGCGCGCGUAGGUGGCCAAUUAAGUCAAAUGUGAAAUCCCCGAGCUUAACUUGGGAAUUGCAUUCGAUACUGGUUAGCUAGAGUAUGGGAGAGGAUGGUAGAAUUCCAGGUGUAGCGGUGAAAUGCGUAGAGAUCUGGAGGAAUACCGAUGGCGAAGGCAGCCAUCUGGCCUAAUACUGACACUGAGGUGCGAAAGCAUGGGGAGCAAACAGGAUUAGAUACCCUGGUAGUCCAUGCCGUAAACGAUGUCUACUAGCCGUUGGGGCCCUUGAGGCUUUAGUGGCGCAGCUAACGCGAUAAGUAGACCGCCUGGGGAGUACGGUCGCAAGACUAAAACUCAAAUGAAUUGACGGGG
rnacentral:rRNA from 1 species